CUGACUAUAAGAAAAAACAAGUGAUUAGAAGUUUGGAAUUUUCUUCCCCACUUGUUGACCUCUGGGAAGGGAAGGAGGUCCUGGAGAUUAAGUUCUACAAACACUCUUGAACAAGUAGAAUUGAUGAACUUCCAGGGUAGACGGACACAUUGAAGUUCCAUGCUGCUGCCUGCCCCCCAUAACUUGCCCUAUGCACAUCUUCUAUUUGGCUGUUCCUAAGUCAUGUCCUUUAUAGUAAACUGAUAAACAGAAGUGUUUUCAGCAAGUCAUCACAUCUAAGGAGGGGGUUGUAGAAACCCUUGGUUGGUAGCCUGUCAGUCAGAAGUACAGAUGGUACCCAGGGACUUGCAACCUAUGUUUGAAAUGGGGGAAGUCUUAUGGGACUGAGUCCUUUAACUUCCAGCAGCUGACACAAACUCAGGGUAAAUGACGUCAGGAUGGAUUUGAAUUAUAGAAUACCCAGUUGGUGUCUGGACAGUCAGAGAACUUGUUGGUACAGAAAAAAAUCCACACAUUUGCUUUCAGAAGUGUUGUGAAUAUAAAUACCCCACUGUUACAUAAAAACUUACAGCAGGAGGUUAUUUUGGACUAAACUCCUGCAAGAAGGCCCCCAACAGACCAGGCUAAAAAUCAAAAUGGAGUCUCUCAGGCUAUAGUUCCCCUUCACCAAGUUGAAACUAAGCUGUUUAUCUAACCUGUUUGUCUAAACCAUAGUUUAGAAAAACUAUGAUUAAAAAAUGGGAGUUCAUAACCCACUUGAAUCAAAGUGUGAAAUAUGAUAUAUAAAGAACUAUGUAAUGUUUUGAACAACCAACAAUAAAAAAAUUAAAUAAAAAAAAAAAGAAAAACUAUGAUUAGAGAAAUCCAGAUUAGAGAAAUAACAGCCAAGUUUCCCAAACAAACCAGUUUCAAUUGAAAUGUUAAUGAAGUUCCUUCUUCCCUAAUCCUUAUACACACAAGGUAAGGAUUGUGUAAAUAUAGGUAACCUGAUGUUAACAAGUUAUUUUCU
rnacentral:lncRNA from 1 species